UCCAGCCCGUCUCGGUUUCCGCAUCCGUCUGAUUCCUUAUGACGUUGAGGGUGCUGGCGUCUGGGUCCUUUAUGAUGCAGAGGGUGCCCCCGUCUCACCCCGGGCGCCUCCGCGCUCCCGCCUCCUCCUGGCAACCUGGUGCGCGGCUCCGGACCUGGCGACGCACGACCGACUGGUCACUUGCUGCCACCUCGCAAAGGCGCAUCUCUAGUCCAGUGGUGAGCUGCGGCCGGGUCGCUGCAACUCGCUCCAGGCCUUCGGACUCGUGGCCUCGGUGUCCCUCGCGGAGCCCUCGGUGUGUCGCUUGCAGGCUCUUUUUUUGAAGAAAGCAGGGAGGGAAUGGCCUUGUGAGAGACUCCAGGAGCAAAGAGCGACCCUCACAAGGCCCAAGUCCUCCCAGAGCUCAGGGAAGCUGUCGCUUCUGACAGAAGAAGGGAGAGAAAGCUCCCUCCUGUGUGUCCCUGGUGGUCUAGUGGCUAGGAUUCGGCGCUUUCACCGCCGCGGCCCGGGUUCGAUUCCCGGUCAGGGAAUUGUUUUACACUGGCCGCCCUCCCGCAGGAAUCUUCCUUCACUACGCUGUCAGCCGGCCUGCUCCAAGGGCCAGAAGCAGAACAGUCUCCGCAGCGGGGUUAAAGCCGGGCGAAGGAGGGCAAGUGCUUGUGGACCACCUCUCACGACACACCGUUCCUAUUUGUCUCCGUGUCCGUCAUCCGCGGGAGCAGCUUUAGAGAGCGACUGAGCUUCUCGCUCAGGUGUACACAGCCCGGCAGAGAUGCCAGCCCCCGUGGAGCUGCACCCAAUAAGCCCACCUUCUUUCCCGUCGCCACCCCGGAGACGCCCAUCGGGCUGAGCUGCGAAUAACUAAGAGAGAGGCCAAGCCAAGUCGUGGCGUUUGUGGCAGCCCCGGACACGGGCACCAGCCAGUCAGCGGAGCCUCCUCACCUCCGUUGCCAGCGAAGGCGCUCGUUAGGCCUUGGGAAGAGGCGACCGGAGGCGAUGCCCGCGAAUUUGUUAGGGGGGUAAGCGGCGGGUGAGGUCCUCGAGGGCGGUCCCGUUUGCUGAUUGAGCGGUAGAGGGAGGCGAUGUUCGCUGACCCAACAAGGACAGCAGGUGGAGUAGGCACAGACGGAAAACUGCUGCCGGUGCCCUAAGCAGAAGGCAGGUGGAAAAAUCAGCACUAGGACGUCGAAGCGAUUGUACCACAGUCAAAUCCCACGACGUCUACACUCUACCAAGCACUUGCGCACGCUCCCCCUUUUCCAUUCAGUACUCCCAAGAGGGGUUCGGAAGAACCCCGAGUCCACUGUAAGCUCAGGGGAGAGCGGGAGCCAGGGAGGUGAAGUGCGCAGACUCGGCAGAGGCGGCGGGCAGAACCGCGCGGGGGGGAGAGACCGUGGUCACGAAGGGGGUUCUCCCAGAGUGAAGCUUCUUCAUCUCACUCUAGAGUUGCUGAUCCCUGUGAUUUCCUCCAUGUGGGAAAUGGUGUUUGUGGUAGAAGAGGCUGCGCUCUUUACCUGACAUAACGGGGUUCAAGACUGACAACGCCUCACGCCCAUCCAAAAACGUUUACAUGGCUUCCUUGUCUCUUUUUUUUUUUCUGUCCUAAAGUCGCCUUAUCUUCACAUCCCCUCUUUUUUUUCUUCCACACUCGAGAGUGUCUCUCUCAUUAAAAGCUCCACCAAAUAUUUGAAAUAUCUCAACCAGAAAGACUGCAAUAAAUACAUUAUUUCAUUCGUGGAAGGUACAGACCAGCUAGAUUGAGAGUUGCUUGAUAUUUUCUGCUAAACGGUGAGGCAUAGAGCACUUGGAAGGUUUCUCUUUGGGCCACUGUUUGUGUACUCUUGGGUUUCCUUCUUUUCCCCAGACAGUAUGGCGCUGUGGGGCCAGGGGUAAACCCUGCUUUCCGGCUUUCUGGCUGCAGAUAAAGGCCUCAGCUGGUGCAGGAAUCAAAAGCAAACCAAAAGACACGUGGGUUCGCCCCAGUGGGUCCAAGAUAGAGUCUGACUGUACCAGGAUUCGGAUUAGAACAGAGGUUGCUGCAGGCACAACGCAGACUACUAACCACUAGAGAAUCCCAAGGCGCCCCACACCUACUGCCCGUCGUUUUGCUUCCCCACCCCUCUAUUAUUUAUUUAUAUAUUUUUUUGAGAGACAGAAUUUCGCUUUGUCGCCCAGGCUGGAGGGCAGCGGCACGAUCUCGGCUCACUGCUACCUCCGCCUCUUAGGUUCAAGCGAUUCUCCUGCCUCAGCCUCCUAAGUAGCUGAGACUACAAACGUGCACCACCACGCCCAGCUAAUUUUUGUAUUUGUGGUAGAGACGAGCUUACACCAUGUUGGCCCGG
rnacentral:lncRNA from 10 species